CGGGGGACAACAUUUGGAAACGAAUGCUAAUACCGCAUAACAACUUUAAACACAAGUUUUAAGUUUGAAAGAUGCAAUUGCAUCACUCAAAGAUGAUCCCGCGUUGUAUUAGCUAGUUGGUGAGGUAAAGGCUCACCAAGGCGAUGAUACAUAGCCGACCUGAGAGGGUGAUCGGCCACAUUGGGACUGAGACACGGCCCAAACUCCUACGGGAGGCAGCAGUAGGGAAUCUUCGGCAAUGGACGAAAGUCUGACCGAGCAACGCCGCGUGAGUGAAGAAGGUUUUCGGAUCGUAAAACUCUGUUGGUAGAGAAGAACGUUGGUGAGAGUGGAAAGCUCAUCAAGUGACGGUAACUACCCAGAAAGGGACGGCUAACUACGUGCCAGCAGCCGCGGUAAUACGUAGGUCCCGAGCGUUGUCCGGAUUUAUUGGGCGUAAAGCGAGCGCAGGUGGUUUAUUAAGUCUGGUGUAAAAGGCAGUGGCUCAACCAUUGUAUGCAUUGGAAACUGGUAGACUUGAGUGCAGGAGAAGAGAGUGGAAUUCCAUGUGUAGCGGUGAAAUGCGUAGAUAUAUGGAGGAACACCGGUGGCGAAAGCGGCUCUCUGGCCUGUAACUGACACUGAGGCUCGAAAGCGUGGGGAGCAAACAGGAUUAGAUACCCUGGUAGUCCACGCCGUAAACGAUGAGUGCUAGAUGUAGGAGCUAUAAGUUCUCUGUAUCGCAGCUAACGCAAU
rnacentral:rRNA from 1 species